AACAUCAACUCAAAAUCAUAAUCAUACUCAACCCAACACAAAACACACGUAUAAUAUUGGAAUACAUCCAUUCAUAUUAUACGCCAUACAUAUAUUAUGCAAUGAGACUCCAUGCAUGCGGUACCGACUAUUCGUGAACACAUAGUUCAACCUCACCGAUCAAACCCAGAUACGGCUACCAAGCUCACUAGUCCCACUCAUUUGAGACCUAGUGACUCACUCACUAAUUCCUCACCAUGGGAAUUAGCUACCACCCCAAGGGCUAUGCUAUGCACGCUAA
rnacentral:lncRNA from 1 species